UACGUAGGGUGCGAGCGUUGUCCGGAAUUAUUGGGCGUAAAGAGCUUGUAGGCGGUUUGUCGCGUCUGCCGUGAAAACCGGAGGCUCAACCUCCGGCCUGCAGUGGGUACGGGCAAACUAGAGUGCGGUAGGGGAGAUUGGAAUUCCUGGUGUAGCGGUGGAAUGCGCAGAUAUCAGGAGGAACACCGAUGGCGAAGGCAGAUCUCUGGGCCGUAACUGACGCUGAGGAGCGAAAGCGUGGGGAGCGAACAGG
rnacentral:rRNA from 1 species